AACGAACGCUGGCGGCAUGCCUAACACAUGCAAGUCGAACGAGACCUUCGGGUCUAGUGGCGCACGGGUGCGUACCGCGUGGGAACCUGCCCUUAGGUUCGGAAUAACUCCCCGAAAGGGGUGCUAAUACCGGUUAAUGUCUUCGGACCUAAGAUUUAUCGCCUUUGGAUGGGCCCGCGUUGGCUUAGCCAGUUGGUAGGGUAAAAGCCUACCAAGGCGACGAUCCAUAGCUGGUCUGAGAGGAUGAUCAGCCACACUGGGACUGAGACACGGCCCAGAAUCCUACGCGAGGCAGCAGUGGGGAAUAUUGGACAAGGGGCGAAAGUCUGAUCAAGCAGUGCCGGGUGAGUGAUGAAGGCCGUAGGAUUGUAAAGCUCUUUUACCCGGGAUGAUAAUGACAGUACCGGGAGAAUAAGCUCCGGCUAACUACGUG
rnacentral:rRNA from 1 species